UGGGUGAGGUGGGCGAAG
rnacentral:miRNA from 1 species